GAUCCUGGCUCAGGAUGAACGCUAGCUACAGGCUUAACACAUGCAAGUCGAGGGGCAGCAUGGUCUUAGCUUGCUAAGGCCGAUGGCGACCGGCGCACGGGUGAGUAACACGUAUCCAACCUGCCGUCUACUCUUGGACAGCCUUCUGAAAGGAAGAUUAAUACAAGAUGGCAUCACGAGUCCGCAUGUUCACAUGAUUAAAGGUAUUCCGGUAGACGAGUGGGGAUGUCCG
rnacentral:rRNA from 1 species